CAGUAGCCGCGGUAAUACGGAGGGGGCUAGCGUUGUUCGGAAUUACUGGGCGUAAAGCGCACGUAGGCGGCUUGGUAAGUUAGAGGUGAAAGCCCGGGGCUCAACUCCGGAAUUGCCUUUAAGACUGCCGAGCUAGUAGGUGAGAGAGGUAAGUGGAAUUCCGAGUGUAGAGGUGAAAUUCGUAGAUAUUCGGAAGAACACCAGUGGCGAAGGCGGCUUACUGGCUCAUUCUAGACGCUGAGGUGCGAAAGCGUGGGGAGCAAACAGGAUUAGAUACCCCAGUAGUCCCUGUCUCUUAUAC
rnacentral:rRNA from 1 species